CUUUUUUUUUCAUGAUGUAAAGAUAAUUGAAUUUUUAUCGGUUGAUUUCGUUCACGUUUUGUUGGCUAUUUAUUUCAAUUUCACCCAAUAUUGGGCCAGAACAACCUAUGGUACACAGGAAGAGAAAUGUAAUCUAUUCGUAUGGUGAAAAUGAAUUAUUGACGCGUAAAUUGAACAUUCCAAUUGGCCAAACGUUCGGAAAUUUUUUUUCUUCUUUUUUUCUGGUUUCCGGGAAACUUUGAAAGUUUACCUUAUGCUUACUUAUGAACAUUCAUUCAUCUCGUACACAUUGGCUUGUUAUCUGAUUAUUAUAUUAUUUUUCAUUUCUUGAUUCGAUCCAAUAUGAUGUUUCUGUUUUUGUUGUUGUUGUUUGGCAUUUUGGGCCACUGGUCCAUAAUAUGACAAAUGUGUACCAAUCACUGAAUCAUUUUGGUAUAUAAAUAACCUAGCUUGACCGAAAUAUCGAAUGAAAAAAUCGGCCAAUCAACUCUUCUGAAAUUCACAUAUUCCUAAUAUAAAUUGAUUUCAAUUCA